rnacentral:misc_RNA from 1 species
CGUCUCUACUAAAAAUACAGCAAUUAGCUGGGUGUAAUAGUAGCCACCUGUAAUCCCAGCUACUGGGGAGGCUGAAGCAGAAGAACCUCUUGAACCCGGGAGGCAGAGGUUGCAGUGAGCUGAGAUCGUACCACUGCACUCCAGCCUGGGCGAUAGAGUGAGACUCUGUCUCAAAAAAUAAAAUAAAAUAAAUAAAAAGAUUAGAUAAUCUGCAAAGUUCCUGUGAGCGCUGUCAUUUUGUCACUCUGGUUUUUCAGAUUCUUCCCCUGGAGGCUGGAGUUUCCAGGAUGUCAAAAUUACCUCUGCUUGGGUGAGCUAUUUCAAGCAGCUGGGAUACCUGUGUCACUCCUGCUGUCUGCCAGUGACUGCCCAGGUGUCUGCUGGUUCCUCCCCAGGAGUAGGGAGGAACCAGGUGGGCUGGCUGGGAUGGGUGGAUAUUUAAAGACCAGGCCUUGGACGCUGCAGCACUUCUAUCUCUGCUUGAUGCCUGCUGCCACGUGGCUGGUCCUCCUCCUCCUGCUGUGGCUGAGCCUUGGGGUGAAGACAGGCAGCUGCUCCCAACCCCAGAACCUUUGCUGUCUUGGGACGGAUCACCACUGCAAGAGGGGAAGUUGCUACUGUGAUGAAUUCUGCCAUGUGGCACCAGACUGCCACCCAGACCACAGUGUCCUCUGCAACCCUGGUAACUCACAUACAGGCCCGAUUCCACCGACAGCAAAGCUGGAUGCUAUGGCUGGCAGAGGCAAACCCUUUGCCUGCACUUCAGGCCAAAGCCGGGAUGUGGCCUAGAUGGUUCCUAAGGUCCCUGACAAUCCUGAGAUCUUGCAUCUUGUCUAUUUCAGGUCAAAGCUUCUCAGAUGACC